rnacentral:rRNA from 1 species
CCUACGGGAGACUGCAGUGAGGAAUAUUGGUCAAUGGGCGAGAGCCUGAACCAGCCAAGUCGCGUGAGGGAGUACUGCCCUAUGGGUUGUAAACCUCUUUUGUCGGGGAGCAAAAGCCGGACGUGUCCGGCUGUGAGAGUACCCGAAGAAAAAGCAUCGGCUAACUCCGUGCCAGCAGCCGCGGUAAUACGGAGGAUGCGAGCGUUAUCCGGAUUUAUUGGGUUUAAAGGGUGCGCAGGCGGAUUUUUAAGUCAGCGGUAAAAUCGUGGGGCUCAACCCCAUCCAGCCGUUGAAACUGGGGAUCUAGAGUGUGCGAGAGGUAUGCGGAAUGCGUGGUGUAGCGGUGAAAUGCAUAGAUAUCACGCAGAACCCCGAUUGCGAAGGCAGCAUACCGGUGCACAACUGACGCUCAGGCACGAAAGCGUGGGUAUCGAACAGGAUUAGAUACCCUAGUAGUC